rnacentral:rRNA from 1 species
GGGCUGCAGUAUUUUGACUGUACAAAGGUAGCAUAAUCAAUAGUCUCUUAAUUGGUGACUUGUAUGAAAGAUUGGAUGAGAUAUAUACUGUCUCUAAUUAAUUUGUAGAAGUUAAUUUUUUAGUAAAAAAGCUAAAAUAAUUUUAAAAGACGAGAAGACCCUAUAGAGUUUAAUAAUUUAUUUAAUUAUUAAUAAUAUAUAAUUUUUAAAAUUAAAAUUAAAUAAAUUAUUUUGUUGGGGUGAUAGAAAAAUUAAAUUAACUUUUUUUAAUUAUUAACAUUAAUUUAUGAUUAAAUGAUCCAUUUAUAAUGAUUAAAAGAAAAAAUUACCUUAGGGAUAACAGCGUAAUUUUUUUUUUUAGUUCAAAUAGGAAAAAAAGUUUGCGACCUCGAUGUUGGAUUAA